GUACACGCUGUGACUAGCAUAUCAAUAAGCGGAGGAAAAGAAACUAACAAGGAUUCCCCUAGUAACGGCGAGUGAAGCGGGAAGAGCUCAAAUUUGAAAUCUUAAAGGGUUUCCCUUUACGAAUUGUAGUUUAAAGAAGUGUUUUCUGUUGAGGUUUUGGUAAAAGUUCUUUGGAAUAGGACAUCAUAGAGGGUGAGAAUCCCGUAUUUGACCUUUACUUUCAACUUUGUGAUACACUUUCAAAGAGUCGGAUUGUUUGGGAAUGCAGUCCAAAAUGGGUGGUAAAUUUCAUCUAAAGCUAAAUAUUGGCGAGAGACCGAUAGCGAACAAGUACCGUGAGGGAAAGAUGAAAAGAACUUUGAAAAGAGAGUUAAACAGUACGUGAAAUUGUCAAAAGGGAAGCGUUUGACACCAGUGUUGUUUUUCUGAAAAUCAAUUAAAGAACUGUUUAUGCUAAGCUGUUUAGACUUUAUCAGCUAUCUGUUUAGUUUUGAGCUUUUCUUUAAUGCACUUUUCAGUUAACAAGUCAACAUCAAUUUCUUUUGCUGUAAAAAAGCUUGAGGAAGGUGGCUUGAGAUUCGUCUUAAGUGUUUAUAGCCUCUUGCCUAUGCAGUCGGAGAGAUUGAGGUCUGCAGCGUAGAUCCUUCGGGGCUAAAUGCAUUUGUGCUAAGUUAUAACAUUUUAUAGACAACUUGUUGACUAUGAUUUGUCUUGUAGCUUACUCGCUUAUGUUAUUUUACCUACGCUUAGGAUGUUGAUGUCAUCGUAUCGCGC
rnacentral:rRNA from 1 species